rnacentral:lncRNA from 1 species
AAUAAAGUAAUUGGUAUAAAAAAAAUGAUUGAAAGGUAUUGUUGUUACAUAAUCACCAAUAAUGAGCAAUGACCAUUCUUAUUAUGAGUAAAAUAAAAAUUAAUAAUGAAAAGGGUAAAAAAUAAAAAUAUUGAAAGGGAGUCUGUCAGACAACCCUGUGAACAAAAUUACAUUUCAAGUCUGAUCCUGCCUGUUGACCAGAACGCUGGAGCCUUGCCUCGUCAAACCUGGAUCGACUUCUGCACCGUGUUAGCCUCCGUCUUUCACCGUGAUUCACCUCGAGAACCUGCAAAAGACAGAACGGCGCCGCUGCGGCCGAUCACGCUCCGACGCCCAAGUCAGCGACUGAACCACCAAUUACUAAGAGAAACUCAAGAACUCUAAGGAACCGUGCAAAGUUAUCUUUCAGCGUACUCAAAACUUGCAAGCGUAAAGAAGUAAUCUGAACGUGCGUACCUCAGAAGUUCGUUAGAAACUCUUAUAUACCUGCGCACUUUCUCUCUCCAGACAGUUACACUUCUGGACACGUGGCUCGCAUCCAGCUGUACACGUGUCACCAUCUGGAGCAUCCUUGACUUGGGCGCCACUUCAUACUCUUCAGGUUUUUGGCUAAGUUACUUAUGCAUGAUACAACUCAGUGCAUAGCUGCCUUGGAGCGUGAUCUCUUCUGGGUGGCGAGUUCGGGUGCCUUCGUACACACCUUCCCUGUGGUCUCGCCGGCCGCCUUCAUGAUCUACUUUACUUGCUUCACCGUGUAUGUUCAGGUAAGCUGUCUCCCGAGCUCAUCCUCUGGCCAGCUGGGAAAUGACUAUCUGACUUCAUCUUCGGCGAUGUCCUCGUUUCGGCGAUCUCUAAUCACUUGGUCGCCUGGGUUCACCUCUGGCGACUUCAUCUUCAAACCGGUGGCCGCCGGUUUAGGUAUGCUGGAGAUCGGAGCACGCCAACUUUAACAACCGGCGACUACACGAGCCCCCCGACUUCCUUCCCUUCUGCCAGCCAGGUGUCCCGUCCAACACACCUAUAUAAUAGCUCGAUGCCACGUCAUCACUUCCGACUACCAGGGUGGUACACAAGCCCCCCAGUCUUAAGCGAAGACUUGUCCAGCGAAAAGACUAAAGGAGUCACGUCACUACCGAUCUACGUGGCGCUGGCGCAGAAUUCCAAACGUUUGUACUUUCUGCUUUCCUGACGCUCCACCAAACACUCUCCGAAUCGCCCGACACGUGGCUUCAUCAACGGUCAUCUUUAGCUGUCGUUUGCACUUCCAAAAAUUAUUUGAAAAACCCUUAAACCCAUUUCAUUUCUACUGUUUCAUUAUCUCUUUGCCUUCUCAAACGCUCCGAGUUUCUUCUGCAAAACCCACGACGCUCUUCAACUCUCUGAAUCCCCAACUUCCUUCAGCGUUCGUCUGAUCAUCGAAAGGUACUCCCUUUACUUCUUCUGUUGAUAUUUGCUGCAUUUUAACCGAUUCGCAUCAUCCAUUAACUGCCUGGUGCAUACGCUGUGGGUUGUUCCUUCUUCUUCUCCCUUUCCGCACUUAGGGCUUCGUCUUCCAUUUCUCCCAUCAAUAACGAACUUUCGUUCGUUCGUCUUUUUCAUCCUUCGUUCACAAUCAAGUCGACCUUUGCAACCUUCGCUCACCUUUCUUUUCUUUUUUCCUUUGCAGUUCCUGCGAUGGCUCGAACAAAGACCACCGCGAAUCCUCCUCCCUCGUCACGAAACCCUCCAUCUCAAGCUCAUAACCCACCGCGAGCACCUGGUGCUUCCUCCUCCCAGGCUGAGAGGCCUGCAACCUCUCACCCCAACCUUGCUCAGGCAACUCCACCCGUCGCCGGAGGUGCCUCCAUUCCUUCCCCAGAUUAUAAGAAGUUAUACCCAUGGGCCACUUCAACGUUACUGAAGGAGACUUCCUCAGUAAACUCUGCUGAGGCAGUGCUUCGAUUGAAGAAGGGGGAUGAGCCCAACCUUUCAUUCCACAAGGAGCACGAUGACAAACUGACGGUGCUGCCUUGCCCCCCCGAUGUGCCAGUCUGCGCAGACGACAAAGGGAACAACGGCGAGUUGUUCUGCUUUGUGUACACCACCUUAUUCAAGAAGGUGAAACUUAAAUUCCCCCUUACCCGUUUCGAGCGAGAACUACUAACCGAGCUCGACAUCGCCGCCGCCCAGCUCCAUCCCAACAGCUGGGCAUUCGUGCGGGCGUUUCAAAUUAUAUGCGCACAUUUGGGACUACCGGCCUCGGUAGACGUGUUCCUCUUCCUGUUCGAGGCCAAGAACCCUGGAGAUCGCCUUUGGGUGAGCCUGAACGGGAUUGCUGGGAGGUCGAUCCUCUCUAUCUUCCAGCAAUCUUACAAGGAUUAGAAAGGUAAAUUCGUCCAAGUGUGUCAGAAUGAUCGGGACACUUCGCUGCUCGACGGCUUUCCCUUGUACUGGGUAAACAAGGGAAAUAAAGACUCCAACGGAAGCUUUAGAAAGCCAAGAAGCCCCGAUAACAUGGGCGCUUUGGACAAGGACCUGUGCCUCUUCUGGAAGAGUGUGGCAGCCGCGAACAUUACCUUUCUCACUUCUGCAAUCAUCUCCUUUGAGUUCUUCGAGGGCCAACUCGAGGCUCGCAUAGGUUAGUGCUCACCUUAACAUCUAAGUUAUUGCUCUGUGCUGCACCUCUGUUAUCUGUUACUGGGCGUCUUGUCUGUUGCGCACUAGACUUGGUCUUUAUUUUCUGCACCACUUGUUUGUCCCAUUUGCAUACCUACCCAUGUGUUUAUCUUUGCCUUUGAGCUGACCUGUAUACCUUCGCAUUAUGCAGAUCUCAUGCUGGGUAAGGGCAAACUAGUUGAAUUGAGGGCGCUCGCCCGAGCUCAUAGGCUGGCGUCGGGCUCCCAGACUGUGCCCAACUCAGUGGUGGAGAUCGCCGCUGCUCAGGGCAGAUCGCCCCCUCAAGGCCCAGCCCCUUCAGAAACCCUACCCGCCCAACAACGCAAAAAACUCAUCCUCAGGAAGUCAAAGAGGAAAACUCCUCAGGUGGUGAGUGAUGAAGAAGAAGACGACGAGGCAACUAAGGAUGGCCUCAUCACUAAAAGGAAGAGGGUGGCACCUUCUUCACCACCUGCUCCACCUCCUCUUCCAACACCAGCACCGCCUUCUCCGCCAGCUCCAACUCCAACACCACCUUCUCCCCCGGCUCCAACACCGCCAGUCCAAGCAGUGCCUUUGGCGGCUGCAUUUCCGGCGGUUGAGGCUACUGAGCCCAACUUCAUGGAGAACCCUCCGAGCGCCUCUACGCCAUUUGUGUCUGCUNNNNNNNNNNNNNNNNNNNNNNNNNNNNNNNNNNNNNNNNNNNNNNNNNNNNNNNNNNNNNNNNNNNNNNNNNNNNNNNNNNNNNNNNNNNNNNNNNNNNACAGCCUCAACCGCGAAAGCUGCACCAGGCGGGGAUGAAGGUGCUCACAACUCACCCAUCAUCAUCACUGAGUCCCCCUCGUCACCACCACGCCAAGAAGCUCCAAUUCAACAACCAGUCCAAGAGGGUGGUGGCGAGAGCCAGCACCCAGCUCCUUCAGCGCCUCCACCACCAGCAGUUGCCAACCUUCCCCUUGCGGUUAAAGGGAUGUGGGAACCCUUCUCAGCAAAACUCAAAAUGAUGGCAGAGGACCUCCCCUCCAUCAUAUCAAAAGCUGUGGAGAGUUCCAGCAAGAAACUUCAGGACGACAUCUCCGUGCUCCAACAGGAGAAUCGCCUAAUAAGGAUCAAGGCGGAGAAGUUGUCCUGCAACCUUAUGCUGGCAGAGAUCGACCAUUCAAGAGUGGAGGACGCUAUGAGCACCGAGCUGAGGGUGGCGCGCAAGGAGGCCACCGAUCUACGCCAUAGGGUGCACCUCUUAGCUCAAGAGAAGAUUGAACUGGAGAGCAAACUGGUCCCCUACCGUCUCAAGGUGGCUGACCUGGAGGCAUCGAUCAAAGCAGAUGCAGCCAAGGUAGAAAACCUUGAGAAGAGGUCAGUAGAUCGGGAAGUCUUCUUGGGAAAAGUUGAAAAUGAGAGAGAUGACACCAUGGCUAAGCUUGCUGAGGCCGAAAAGGAGAAUGAAGGGAUCGCCGCAGGGCUGGUCCAGGCGCAGGCGGAAAACAAGAAGGUUACUGAAGACCUCCUUCAAGCUCGUGAAACAACUGAAGAACUAAAGAAACGAGCUAAUGAGUUGGAACAGCAGAUCGAGGGGCUCAAGAAGCAAACUGAAGAACUCGAGCUGAGCUCCGCCCAAAUCCUCGCUGCUGGGUUUGACGCCGCUCUGGAACAAUUUGCCUGCCAGUACCCCGAUUUAGAUCUCUCCAUGGUGUCGCUAAACAAUGAAGUGGUGGAUGGGAAGAUCGUUCCUUCUGAAGACUAGCUGCUUCCCUCCAUCACUUAUUCAUCUAUCUUUCUCUUACACAGCUUACUUGUAAUAAUUUUUUCCCCUUUGGUACAUGUAAUUUGAACUGAUGCCACUGUGUUAUGACAUUUCCUGCUUCUUUAUAUAAUCUCCCUGUUAGCUUUAUUUCUUCUUGUAUAAAUCUCUUAAACGAAAUUGACUUAGCAAUUCUGCGAGCGCGACUGUUCAGUAACUGCUUCAAACUACCAACUUUCGAACGAUAGUCUUCUAACAACUUGUGAACUCUUAAGAUAAUGAACCUCAGCGCGAAACCACUUUCCAAACAACGAGCUUCAACCCAACUAAUAGUUUAAAACAUAGCUCACCCGAUCUGCCUUAUCAAAACGGGCCUUAACUCUUGCCAUCGCUUAAAUUUCUUCUGAUCGCCAAAGAUCCUUGGCGAUACCAGCUUCCUCUUGCCUUCGUAGUUUGGCCAUUGUUCCCUCAUCUGGGGGGUAGAGGUGCCUUUCGGAUCCUUCUCUACCCUCCCUGACUUUCAGAACAGUAAGCUGGAUAGCUAAGUGUUCUCUUCGAACCUACCUUAGCUAUCCUUUAAACUUCUUCCACCCUCCACACCGUACCUGAACUCGUUCGAGACGAGAAGGAUUUUAUCUUGCCUGAACUCGCUCGACGGCGAGAAGGUCUUUAACUCGCCUGAACUCGCUCAUUGGCGAGAAGGUCUUUAACUCGUGCCUCUACGUUGCCCCAGGGGCUACAUCUCCUCUCCCCUGGAAACACUGAGGACUUUUUACUGGUGCCUCUACAUUGCCCCAGAGGCUACAUCUUUUCUCCCCUGGAAGCACUGAGGACUUUUUACCGGUGCCUCUACAUUGCUCCAGAGGCUACAUCUUCUCUCCUCUGGAAGCACUGAGGACUUUUUACUCUUUCUCGCCUGCACUCGCUCGACAGCGAGGAGGUCUUUAUCUCUUUCUCGCCUCAGGACGCGCGAGGGCGUUGAGGUCUUUUAACUGGUGCCUCCGAUCGCCGAAAGACGACGAGGACUUUAAACUUUAACUGAUGCCGCCAAUCGCCGAAAAACGAUGGGGACUUAGAAACUUUUUUAGAAAGCAUGCGACAUAACUUCAAAACUCGCCUUAAAUCACAUAUAAGCGACAAGGUCUUUCUUCAAAACUUUCGAAAAAACAGCAAGCAUGCAAUCUAAAAUACUUCAAACUUUGAAAACUCUUCUUUAUUGGGUGGCCUCAUUAAAAACCCUCCUUAGGGAAAAAAGAGUGCCCCCUUCCAACUGUUUUAACAGAAAGCUUGCAAACCCUUUGUGUUUGUUUUUACUUACAAAGCUUUUAACUGUAAUAUAACUUGAGGUGCGUGGCGUUCCAGGUGCGAGGGAUCGCCCCUCCUUCCAACGUUUCCAAGCGGUAGGCGCCGUUCCCGAGCGCCUCGGUUAUCCUGAACGAUCCCGUCCACUUAGGCAAUAGCCUAUUCUCCAUCUCGUACUGAUGGGCCUUCCUCAUCACCAGAUCGCCUUCUCUGAACUGCCUUGGCAUCACCUUCGAGUUAUACCUUCGUUCAAUCCUUCUUUUCACUGCCUCAGCCUUCACUCUUGCCUCCUCCCUGACCUCAUCCAGCAAAUCCAGAUUCAACCUUCUUUCCUCAUUCGAGUCUUCCGCUACAAAGUUCUGGAAUCUCGGCGAGCUCUCUUGGAUUUCUACUGGAAUCAUUGCGUCGCAUCCAUAGACCAGGCUAAACGGGGUCUCAUGGGUUCCUGACUACUCGGUGGUGUGGUACGCCCAAACUAUACGGGGUACCUCCUCAGCCCAACUUCCUUUGGCUUUCUCUAGCCUUCUCUUCAAACCUCUUAGCAAUACCCGAUUGGCUGACUCUACUUGGCCAUUUGUCUGAGGGUGCUCGACAGAUGCAAAUACUUGUUGAAUUCCCACCCCUUCGCACAACUUCUUCAAUAGGUGACUUGCAAACUGAGUUCUGUUAUCUGACACCAGGCGCUUGGGCACACCAAACCGGCACACGAUGUUCUUCCACACAAAGCUCUUGAUCUUGUGCGCGGUGAUCUGGGCCACUGGUUCUGCUUCAAUCCACUUGGUGAAAUAUUCAAUCGCCACCACCAAGUACUUCAUCUGCCUGAUCGCCAAUGGAAAGGGUCCCAGAAUGUCGAUCCCCCAUGUAUGGAACGGCCAAGGGCUGUAAAUCGACUUCAACUCCUUGGGAGGCGCCUUGUGCCAAUCGGCGUGCUGCUGACAUUGCUUGCAACACUGUGCAUACUUCUUGCAAUCUUCUCUCAUUGUUGGCCAAUAGUAACCUGCACGGAGAGUCCUUGCGGCCAGAGCUCGACCACCGACGUGGCUUCCACAGAUCCCUUCAUGGAGCUCGGCCAUGAUUCUUGUACAUUUCUCUCCGUGCACACAUUCCAGGAGUGGGUGUGUGAACCCAAACCUAUACAACUCGCCGUCAAUCAUCGUGAACUUGCUGGAGUUCUUCUUUAUCUUCCUGGCCUCCGUCGGAUCCAGCGGGAGAAGGCCAUCCGCCAGGCAUCGCUUGUACUGUGUUACCCAGGUGUCUGGCUCAUGGGUCGUGCAGACCUGCGUCAUGUUCACCUUCUCUCCCCGACAUGCUCUUAUUCUUGGCGACCUCAAGGUCUCCUGAGUCAAAGACCUGUGACUCCUCGCUGCUUUCUCUGUCGACCUGCUUAUCUGAAGAACCAGGUGAUCUGCCACAAAUGCUCUGGGUGUCUUCAGAGUUCUUGGAUCACCGUCCUCUGCCUUUCCCCCUUGCCUGAACUGGCGAGCUUANNNNNNNNNNNNNNNNNNNNNNNNNNNNNNNNNNNNNNNNNNNNNNNNNNNNNNNNNNNNNNNNNNNNNNNNNNNNNNNNNNNNNNNNNNNNNNNNNNNNACUCUUCAACUCCUGGACAUACUAUAGGUAAGCCGCCAUUUGUGGAUCUUUAGCCUGGAACUCGCCUGUUACUUGCCCCGUGACUAACAGCGAGUCACUCUUAGCCAUUAGCACCCUAACUCCCAUUUCCUUGGCCAGCAAGAUUCCGGCGAUCAGUGCUUCAUACUCUGCUUGGUUGUUGCUGGCUUUGAAGGCAAACCUUAGGGACUGUUCAAUCAGCACGCCGUUGGGCCCUUCCAAGAUGACUCCAGCACCGCUACCCUGCUGGUUCGACGAUCCGUCCACCGAAAGCACCCAACGAAAGUCGUCCCCCUCAACUCGUGUCGCUUCUGACGAGAGCUCGACCACGAAAUCUGCGAAAAUCUGCCCCUUGAUCGGACCUCGGGGCUCAUACUUAAUAUCGAACUCCAACAGCUCCACCGCCCACUUCACCAUCCUCCCAGCCACAUCGGGCUUCUUAAGGACCUUCUGGAUGGGCAAGUCGGUCAUCACCAGUAUCGUGAAGCUGUGGAAAUAGUGGCGUAACCUUCUCGCCGAAAAAACCACUGCCAGCGCAGCUUUCUCCAAGGCCUGAUAUCUCACUUCGGGGCCCUGCAGCACCUUGCUGACAAAAUAAAUAGGCUUUUGAGCCUGAUCUUGGUCUUGGGCGAGCACCGCACUCACCGCCCUCUCAGUCACAGCAAAAUACAACCUGACGGGGGUUCCCACCAGCGGUUUGCACAAAACCGACGGGCUCGCCAGGUAUUCUUUAAGCUUGACGAAGGCCUCUUCACACUCCUUCGUCCAGGCAAAUUUGUUGUUUCGCCUUAAACACUGAAAAUACGGGUGGCCCUUCUCUCUGCUAGCUGACACGAAAUGAGACAGGGCGGCCAUCCGACCUGGAAGUUGUUGCACUUCCUUCACGGUAGCCGGGCUCCUCAUCGCCAAGAUGGCAGCACACUUAUCAGGAUUGGCUUCUAUUCCUCUUUCAGUCAAGAGGAAACCCAAGAAUUUUCCCGCCUCCACGCCAAAGAUGCACUUCUCGGGAUUCAGCUUUAACCUGAACUUGGCGAUCGUAGUGAACAACUCUUCUAAGUCCGCAACAUGCUUGCUCUUCUCCGGCGAGGUCACGACCAUGUCAUCCACGUACGCUUGCACAUUUCUUCCCAACAUUGGUGCAAGUACCCGAUCCAUCAACCUCUGGUACGUGGCCCCUGCGUUCUUCAGCCCAAAUGGCAUCACCUUGUAGCAGUAGCACGAUCUCUCGGUCAUGAAGGCAGUCUUCUCUUCAUCAAUGGGAUGCAUCUUGAUCUGGUUAUACCCCGAGAAGGCAUCCAGGAAACUCAACAACUUACACCCUGCAGCACUGUCCACCAGGGCGUCUAUGCUUGGCAAAGGAUACGAAUCCUUUGGGCAAGCCUUGUUCAGAUCGGUGAAAUCGACGCACAUGCGCCAUUUCCAUUGCUCUUCUUCACCAGCACGACAUUAGCUAGCCACUCAGGGUACUGGACUUCCCUGAUAUGGCCUGCAGCGAGGAGCUUCUGUGUUUCAUCCCUGAUCGCCUGCCUUCUCUCCUCGUUGAAUUUCCUUCUUCUCUGCCGCACUGGCCUGACCUGGUUGUCCAUUGCUAGAUGAUGGCAAAAGAAGUCGGGGUCAAUUCCCGACAUGUCUGAAGCAGACCAUGCGAAAGCGUCCAGAUGCCGCUCUAUCACCUUGGCAAUCUGGUCUUGGAGCUCAGCCUCCAAGGAUCUUCCCAACUUGAAGACCUUUCCCCCGAUCUCCCUUUCGAGCCAUUCCUCGACGGGUUUGGGUCUAGCUUCCCUGGCGAUCACCGCCCUGGCGAUCACCGCCCUGGCGAUCACCGCCCUGGCGAUCACCGCCCUGGCGAUUCCCAGCUCCCUCAAUUAAGUAACCAAAAUUGUCAAUUCACGAGUAAAACUCUCAAAACUGUUUAAGGUUCACAUACUCACUUGGUUUAAAUGGUCUCAUUCUUUUUUCUUUUGUCCUUCUCUGUCCUAAUCAAUCAUCCUGUUAAAUUUUCAUGUAUCACAAUUUCAACUACAUUUGAAUAAAUAUUCAAUCAUAUUUUCUUUUCUAACAUGUGUCUAAUUUAUCUCACUAUUUAAUGUUUACACACAAAUUCAUUUUUCCACAAUUCAAAAUGAAUAUUCUAGUGCUUUUUUAUUUGAGAAAAAUUAACUAGAAAACAAACAAAUUAAACUGAAAUGUAUCCAAGAAAAUAAUUCAAGACAUAAAAACUAACAAAACAACAAAUUUAUUCAAACUACAAAAUAAGUAAAUAAAACAAACUAAGCAAAUAAACGAAAUAACUAAAAAAUAAAAAAUGAAAACAUAAACAAAAAAAUAAAGCAAAAUUUAAAUAACUAAAAAGAAAAGAGAAUUAGAAAGAUAAAACUAUAUUUUUGCUCAAUCCUCUCUUUCUAAGAAGUCAUCCAGCUCUUUGUUAAAAUCUUCAUCUAUAGUCUUGCUUCAUUUGCUGGAUCUACCCCCCCCCCUCCCCCCCCCCCCAAAACUAAUAGUACCUGUCCACAACCCAAAAUACAUAACCUGCAAAAUGAUUAGGAGAAAUAUUGGAAUUAGGGUGCCUUUAAGAUUUUUUUUUUUUUGCAAAAAUAUUUUGCUUUAGCGAGAAUCCUUGCGUAAAAACACCAUUUUUCGAUGUAAAACUCGCUUGAGCGAGAAUUUGCUCGCUUAAGUGAGAAUUUCGUCGUCAAACUCACUUGGGCGAGACUUCCUGCAAGAAAACAUGAUUUUGAAAAUAAAAAUCAACAAAGGUAGCAAAACAAAAAAAAAGAAAAACUGGAUUGGGUUGCCUUCGAGUAAGCGUCAUAUUUAACGUCAUAUAACUUGACGAAAGAUUUUAUCAAGGGGGAUAAUUAUUCUUCUUGGCCAAUACUCUUGUUAUCACUUUCAUUUUCCUUGAAUACGACUCUUCCACUUCAAUUGUUCCAUUCAGAUUUAAUUCCUUAAUGACUCACAAUUUCUUCGUCUUCUUCAUUCGUUUCCCCCUACCUGCGUUAAGCAUGAUAGUCCUGGCCAAUACUCCUUUUCUUUCAUUGGCUUCCCUUGAUUGUCCUGAUCUUCUUUUGUCUUUACCAUUUCCUGAGGUGGAACUUUCUCCUUUGGCUUUGAACCCUCCAUCUGCUCACCAUUUUUUGAAAUUUCCUAUUGUCUCCCAUCCUUAUCUUCAAUACAGUUAUUUACAUCAUCAAAAAGAUUAAAUUUUACCUCAUCAUCUUGAGACCUUACUCUAAGUUCUCUUUUAUCCACAUCCACUAUGACUUUAACACUCUUCAUAAAAGGUCUGUCGAGAAUCAAAGGGACCUCCUUGUCUUCCUUCAUGUCCAAGAUAACAAAGUCUAUCGAAAAUAUGAACUUGUCUACCUUCAUUAGAACAUCUUCUACCGCACCAUAAGGAUGUUUCACAGUUGUGUCAGCCAAUUCAUGGUGGGUUUAACCUCCAAGUCACCUAUUUGUGCUAACAUGGUUAAUGGCUUAUACUUAACCCUAAAUCCAAUAAGUCAUUAUCAACAAAUAAAUCAUUUAUUGACACAGUCCCUGGAUCCUUGAAUUUCUUGGGAAAGUCUUUCAGCUUCAAAGAACUGCUUCCAGCUCUAUAUCCUUUUCUUCAAAGCAACACAUCUUCCUUCUAAUUCCUUCAAAUAAUGUUUUUUUCUCCGACCAUCCUGCAAAAUAAUUUUUUGGAAGCAAUUUAUCAGAAAAAAGUUCUUUUUUUUUACAGGCAUAUGGGAAUGGGAUAAUUCUUUUGGAACUCUACUCUUUACAACUUCAUAUUUUUCUCCCUCUUUUCUAUCUUCUCUUUUUUCUUCCUCAACCUUCUCCAUCUCACCAUCCCCCUCUCGUAUUUUUUUAUCACUCUCAAUAGUGAUUUUAUUACAAUGUUCCUUGUCUGAACAUAGAGAUUUCAGACAUAACUUUAAUGUAACGAGAAAUUGGAAAAAAUAUCGGUAGAAACUUUUCUUGUACAUCCUUCCAUUUAGCUAGGCUCUGAUUAGAAUGUGAUUUAAGUCAUUCCUUCACUCUCCCUGCCAAAGAAAAGGGAAAUAAACACAUAUACACACUUUCCAGAUCACCUAACUGAAACCCCAUAGUUCCCACCAAUUCAUAAAAUGUGUAUGAGGAUCCUCAUGAUCCAUCGUCGUGAAUUGAUUGGUACUUAUUAGGGUGAGAAAUGCAGACUUCAUCUCCAAGGCACUGUUAGUAGCAGGUAUUGCAAUGCUAGAAAAGUGUCUAGGUCCUUAGUGUAUGGCGUAGUCUCUAAGAGUCCUCCUAUUAGGUGGUACUUCAUCCUCUGCUAUGUUGUUCUCUUCAUGAAAAUAUGAAUGGAAAAAGAAGAAGUUGUUGAAGAGUCCUCUCUAGUAUCUUCUUGCUUCUCUUUUGUCUUUAAUUUUCGGUUUCUUCUAACUAACUUCUCAAUUUCUGCUUCAAAUAACAAUUGGUCUUUUGGAAUCCGACCUCUCAAUAUCUUAUAAAAAAACAACUAAUGCAAGGAUUAGCAAGAAACUUCAGAAACAGUAACCAAAAAUUUGUAUUUUAUAUAUAUAUUUUUUAAAAUAGAACAAUUAACUAAAAAUUAAAUUCUAAUUAAAUAAAAAAAAUAAAAGAAAAUUCAAAUUAAAUAAGAAAAUAAAUAGAUAUAAAUAAAAGAAAAUAAAGAAAAAAAAUAAGAGUUAAAUCAAUAAAAACAAAAUAACCAAUCUGAAAAAAAAAACACAAUAAAAAUAAAUCAAAACAAUAAAAAUAUUCACAAUAUUUAGGAACAUAUACUCAACAAAUCAAACUUGUUCCCCGGUAACGGUAUCAAAAAUUUGAUGACUUUUUACGGCAAGUGCAUCGCGUUGUCAGAAGUAAUAAUUUGUCGCUAAGGACGGAUAUCCAUCCCACAAGGAACAAUUGAAUUAUCAAGUACAAUACUCGCUAAAUAUAAAACAGAACAAUAAAAAGUGUGUUGAGAAUGGAUGUGUUGGCGAUGAUCAAUAAGAAAACAGACAAAGAAUUGGUUGCUUCAAGUUGGAAAAAUAAGGAUUAGGUUUCAUCUGUCUCAUUCUUAUGUAUUUCGAUUAACAUGUUAACAUUAUGUUCUUUGAUUGAAAUUGAUGUUCGUAUAAAAGUCAUUUAUAUCGAUUUUUCGCAUAUAAAAUUAUUAAGAAUGUUUCCUAAAUAUCGAUCUUUCGCAUAUUUAUAAGAACAAAUUAUAAUCAAGCUUAGGCGUUCAUAACAAAAUUACAUUUCAAGUCUAUUCAUAACACUCAAAUAUGUUAAGUAUUGUUGUUUGGGUCAAAACCCUAAAAAUACUUUCUAGACAAAUUUAAAAUUCUCAAACAUGUCUCAAUUAUUUAGAAACAAAACAACAAUACUAAUAAUCAAUCAAGAACAUAAUAUUAUAUCAUAUUUAAAUAUCACCUCAAUACAUAAGAGUUUGAACAAAUUACUCUCAAUUACAAAUGGUAGAAUUAGCCACGCAUACUUCUAGCACCUUCCAUUCUCCCAAUUGGUUACAAAUCACCCAAUGGUCUUUUCCUCUAAAUCUAGCACACUAGAGUUGUGCCUUUAGCCCUCUAUUUCACCUAAUUUGUUAGGAUUAGGUGACUUCUUGCGUCGCGCUGAUGAACUUAUUAAUAAAAACAUAAAAAAAAACUCAAUUUGUCUAACGCAUUCUCGCUUAAGUGAGAAAGGCGUUGAUUUCCGAAAAAAUUCAUUGGAGCAUUCUCGCUCAAGCUAGAAUAUCUCGCUUGAGCGAGAUACUCCGCUGUUGAGUUGGAUUUUUUGUGCGUUUCGAACCUUCCAACUUUCUCCUUUUAGCUUAUAUCAUUCAUCUUUGGUCCAAAUCUUCAUUCUUCCUUAUAAACCUGAAAUUAACACCAAAUUUAGAAAUAAAAUGCUCUUAUUCAAAUAAAGAUCAUAAAAAAUGUAAAAAGAUAUAAAUUCAUAACUUAGGAAUUAUUUAUAUGUAGUUUAGCAAUUAAUACUCAUAAGUGCCUGUAUUUUAAUAUGAAAUAUUACUGAAAUUAGGCACUUAUCAAUAAGCUAUAUAAUUAAAUUCUUCAUUGUGUGAAGAUAUCCUAGUGUGCUUCCAUUGUUGCUCUCAAAUUGAGAGUGUUUCUCACUUGUUCAUAGGUCAUGGUCUCAAAAGGAGAUUAAGAUUGGCUACCUGAAGAAAUGUAGAAUACUUGUACCUGAAUAGGUGUAGAAUACUUUUACAUGGAGAGGUGUAGAAUACUCGUGUAUCUAAAGGGAUGUAAAAAUACUUGUCUUAAUGAAGGCUCUUAAACGAGUUGCUUAAAGGGACUGGAAGUAGUCCUAAUUGUGGAGUGAACCAGUAUAAAUAUGUGUCUACUUCUCUCUACUCUAAGUCUAUUUAACGCUAACAUUGUUUUGGUUAUAAUUUGUGAUAGAUGUCAUUUAUCAAUCAAAUUGAAAAAAUUCUAUCGUAGUUUGUCUAAUGCAAUGAUAAAGUAUGUAACACCAAAGAGUUGAUAUUAUAGAAGUUGUCGUAAGAUCCUUCAAAAGCCCAAUAUUUCAAGUAUUUCUAAAUGGAAUGAUUGUUCGAGGUUGAUCAUCUGGAGGUCUUAAAGAUCGGCCCAGAGAAAGGGAAGAAAGUAUCAAUCAAUGAUUCAAUAAACCUGAAUCUUUUGAGGUCUUGCAGAUCAACAUCAUAGAUACUUCGAUAACACCUUAUAAGCAUUAUCUUGUCGAUGGAUUACUUCCUGCUGAGCUUGCAAAGGCCAAGAUAUUCUCACUUGAACGAGAAUACUCUAAUGAAUUUUUUUCGAAAAUCAACGUCUUUCUCGCUCAAGCGAAAUUUUUAACUCAAGCAAGAUAUUCUCCCUCAAACGAGAAUACGUCAGACAGAUUGACCCAUUUUAUGUUUAUAUCAGUAAGUCCAUUAGCGCAACAAAGGAAGUCACCUAACCCUAUUAAAUUAAGUUAAUAUUGCUUUCUAAUAGUUAUAUUAAAACAUAUACAUAAAAAUAAUUUUACAAAACUUAAAAGGAUUUAUGUGGUUUAUUUUAUCAAAAUGGAUAUAAUUUUUAAAAUUUAUGAAAAUGAGUAAAUUUUUAACAUAUUAUACAAAUAAAUAGGAAGUACGUUCAAAGCCCUACUACAAUGAAAAAGUGGUAUUUUAAAAAACAAAGAGUAAAUCCUAAAUUCUAAAGAGAACCAUCUCGUACAAACCAAUUUUUUAAUCAAGCAUAUAAAGACCUAUCAUUUCAGUUUUUAUCAAAUUUUUACAAUUAUCUUUUCUCUAUUUCAGAUAAACAUCCUUUUUUACUUUAAAAUAUUCAUAUAUAUGUAAUAAAUAAGAAUCACAUAUUAAUUUUAAUAAAAAAUAAAUAAAAAUAAAAAUAUUUCUUUAAAAAGUAAAAAAAAAAAAAAGCAAAAAAACACUUUAAAAAGUAAACAUAUUAGAAAUUUUUAAUAUGAAUUUAUUAAUCAAAUUAUUAAAUAAAACCUUAGAAAAACAUAAAAAUUCUAAAUGGAGGAGAUGUAUUAUGGGUACGCCUUUUAUAAAAUUGGUUGUUGUAUGAAGAAUAAAGUAAUUGGUAUAAAAAAAGGUAUUGUUGUUACAUAAUCACCAAUAAUGAGCAAUGAGCAUUCUUAUUAUGAGAGUAAAAUAAAAAUUAAUAAUGAAAAGGGUAAAAAAUAAAAAUAUUGAAAGGGAGUCUGUCAGACAACCCUGUGACCAUCUCAAAUCAUGAAGACUGGGAACGAUCCUCUACAGCUAAGAUGUAUCUAAUCCAGGGAGAAGGCACACCUGACCGUUAAUCACGCUCUGAUCACAGGGUCACGUUCAUCCACCAGACUUCAGUUCCUGUCUCCUUAGAACUCAAGGAUACAGAGGUACGAGCCUAUAGAACAGAUCCUGUUCAAGUAAGGUCGUGACCAGUUACAAUAGGUGUCCCUUAAUAAACUUGUUUUCUGCUUCAAACGUUUUCAAUGUGGGACUACGUUAUCUAUGGUGAACACUUUUUUUCCAGAAAAACAUCUGCUAUGCUAUUCUCAGUAAACUACGGUGAUCAUUAGGAGGGAUGAGUUUAAAAAGACUGAAAUCAACAGAAAAGCUUUGAAAGAAAACAGAAAUAUAGACUAGUAAAGAAAGCCAGCACAUCAUUGUUCCUGGUAGAGCUUCUUGAAGUUCCAUGAUGGCAAAUAUGACAUGUGUGGAACACUGUCUCUGAAUGCUACAAUUAUCAUGCGUUAC